UGGGGAAUAUUGGACAAUGGGGGAACCCUGAUCCAGCCAUGCCGCGUGUGUGAAGAAGGCCUUAUGGUUGUAAAGCACUUUAAGCGAGGAGGAGGGUACUGGUAUUAAUACUACCAGGUACUGGACGUUACUCGCAGAAUAAGCACCGGCUAACUCUGUGCCAGCAGCCGCGGUAAUACAGAGGGUGCGAGCGUUAAUCGGAUUUACUGGGCGUAAAGCGUGCGUAGGCGGCUAAUUGAGUCGGAUGUGAAAUCCCCGAGCUUAACUUGGGAAUUGCAUUCGAUACUGGUUAGCUAGAGUGUGGGAGAGGAUGGUAGAAUUCCAGGUGUAGCGGUGAAAUGCGUAGAGAUCUGGAGGAAUACCGAUGGCGAAGGCAGCCAUCUGGCCUAACACUGACGCUGAGGUACGAAAGCAUGGGGAGCAAACAGG
rnacentral:rRNA from 1 species